rnacentral:rRNA from 1 species
UACGUAGGGUGCGAGCGUUGUCCGGAAUUAUUGGGCGUAAAGGGCGCGUAGGCGGCGCGGGAAGUCAUCGGUGAAAGUUCAGGGCUCAACUCUGAAUCGGCCGGUGAUACUCUCGUGCUUGAGCACUGUAGGGGCAGGUGGAAUUCCGGGUGUAGCGGUGGAAUGCGUAGAGAUCCGGAAGAACACCGGUGGCGAAGGCGGCCUGCUGGGCAGUAGCUGACGCUGAUGCGCGACAGCGUGGGGAGCAAACAGG